rnacentral:rRNA from 1 species
UACAGAGGUCCCGAGCGUUGUUCGGAUUCAUUGGGCGUAAAGGGUGCGUAGGCGGUUUGCUAAGUUUGAUGUGAAAUUCCGGGGCUCAACCCUGGCAUGGCAUUGAAUACUGGCGGACUAGAGUACUGGAGAGGAAACUGGAAUUUACGGUGUAGCAGUGAAAUGCGUAGAGAUCGUAAGGAAGACCAGUGGCGAAGGCGAGUUUCUGGACAGUAACUGACGCUGAGGCACGAAGGCCAGGGGGAGCAAACGGG